rnacentral:rRNA from 1 species
UACGGGGGGGGCAAGCGUUGUUCGGAAUUACUGGGCGUAAAGGGCUCGUAGGUGGCCAACUAAGUCAGACGUGAAAUCCCUCGGCUUAACCGGGGAACUGCGUCUGAUACUGGAUGGCUUGAGUUUGGGAGAGGGAUGCGGAAUUCCAGGUGUAGCGGUGAAAUGCGUAGAUAUCUGCAGGAACACCCGUGGCGAAAGCGGCGCGCUGGACCACUACUGACGCUGAGGAACGAAAGCUAGGGGAGCAAACAGG